rnacentral:lncRNA from 1 species
AGCUCAUUUCUGGAAGGGCAGAGCCACAGUGUCAGGGACUCUCUGUGUUUCUCAGGCUCAGAUUUAGGUUCCAUAGGCAUUCCAUUCUUGUCCUUUCCUCCCUUCUUCAGAAGCCAUUUAUACACGGCUUCCUUCUCACAGUUGUCAUCACACACACACUCUGCAAAACUGGUGCAGGGCUCGUUGGCUUUACACACUUCCUCUACUUUCCAUGUGUCCUGAUGGUUCUGGGCAAGCCAGCCGUCGCUGAUUGUUGCGCCGGGGACCGACACUGAUUUUUUGGCCUCCAAGUGGUCAUUUAGGCAUUUCAGAUUGCCCAGGUUCUCAAUCUCCACACCUCUAGGCUGGUUGCCCUGACAGUUGGUACAGGAGUCAGGCUUGACAAGCCAAUCACUCACAUUGUAGGGCUCUCUGAACACCUGGAACAAGAGUUUAAACUUCUCGCUGGUUUCCCAGCUGCCAUCCACAGGCUUCUCCAGCUCACAGGGUUCCUGAGGAGUCACCAACCAAUCAGACAGGUCCAGCUCGUCUUGAUCAAGGAGCUCUACAUCUUCAGCCUUUUCAGCUUCAGGAGAGAAAGAACUGGUGCUACAAUGGCUGUUACAUUUUGAGGAACUUGGUUUUCCAGCAAUUUCUUGUUGAUGACUGUUAAGGAGCCAAUUUUCUAAGCCCUUCAGAUUGCCCCAGGCAUCGCUGAAGAAACUGCAGGCUCUGGCAGAAGUCUGACUAUUCUCUGAAGUCUGUUUUGGGAUAAGCCAGUCCUGUGGGUUGGUACUGGGUACAUAAGGAGCCUGAAGACCAAUGGCAGGUUUGCUUACAAGAAGCCACUCACUCAGAGAUACAGCUGUGCCACUGGAUGCUGACUUCUGCUCUGGCACCUGGAUAUAGCCUCUUUUCUCUAGGAAAGGCCCAAUACUUGAGGAGCUCGCGUGAGCCAUCAGAUGCUCAGGGAUUUGAAUGGUCUUAAGGGAUCCAAAUGUGGUGAUGGUCUGGCGCAGAGCAGAUGUAUCUGCUUCAAAGAGUAGGACAGUUGAAUCUUCAGGCUUCAGGGCCAAACUGCCCAGUCUCUCCAAGCACACAGAGACUUGAUUGGCAAGAUCUUUGUUCUGAGUAUACUCCAGUUGAUGAAUAAGACAAUUGAAUUGGCCCAUUAGCCAAUAGAGCUGCUGAGCCUGCUGCUGCAGUGUCUCCUCUUUAAGCUGAUAGAUGAGAUCGACCUGUUCAUUGAGCCACACCUCUCGGCUCCGAAGGCAUUCCAGGUGGCGACUUAUGCAGCUGUGAAUCUGAGCUUUUACCUCUCGUAAAUUAUCUUUAAUUUGCUGUUCAGCCCGAAGUACUCCACCAAUAGCAAGCUCCAGCUCCCUCCUUGCAUCACUGCACCUCAGAAGAGUUUCUCUAUUACUGUAGCAGCCACUCUGUUCCAGGGAUGUGUUCAUUCUGCUCACUGUUCCAGGUAGUCUGGCCCCGCGACGAAAACUGCUCAUUUGCUGGUAUCUUAAUCCAAUACUUCUCAGACUUCAGAACUGUAAACAGUUCAUUUCUAUUUUUGUUUCUAAUUUACUCAAUCUAUUGUUUUGUUGUAGUAGAGGAAUAGACCGAGACAAUGUGCUCAAACAUGACCACAGGUUAGAAAGCCUUUUUCCUGACCCCUCAGUCCCUAAUUCUAGAUAUUGUUGUUUCAAAAAUACUGGUUAUUAACACUUCUUACUCAGCUUUAAUGGUAGCCAAGCAUUCAUGAAAGUAUUGGCCCUUUUACUUGGAAAAUGACUCCUAAGCUAGAGAAGAACAUCAGAGAAGUCUAGAAGAGUCACCCAGUGAGUGAUUCUAGACUCUUCUAUUCUCCCACUGAGAGCCUUUGGCAUCCAUGACCUGUACUUAGCCUGUUCUGCACUGGCAGGGAGAAAACAGGAGGCCAAAGCUCACCCUUUACUCCUCUACAUGUAUCUGGAAGGGAAGCAAACUCAAGGUAAUUGAUCCUUGUUAAGCCAGGAGGCAGCACCAUCCAGCAGAUGCUGAAUAACUGAUUCCAGCACAUGUUCAGUAUGCUGUGUACCUCUCAUCGAUAAAUAAAACCAGCUUUUCUUACUACAGUGCCCAUUAGUUGCCAAUGAGGUAUAUAAAAGCACCACUGUCUGGAAAAUCUACUGCUAGAGUAUCUUGCUAAAUCAAAUCACUUUCGGGAUUUAUACAAACGUGGCUGAUGGCACGUUACUCUAGGCUUUAGUCCAUUCUUUUGUGGACAUGGCAUACCUUGGCACUCUCCCAUUGCAGAUGUGGCACUAUUUGCCUCACAUGCUAAGCAGAUGAAACUCUAAAAACUGAUGGGUAGAACAACAGGAAAAUGUGAAAUAGCCUAUGAUUACCAUAAUUACCUCAGUAAAAUGUGUGAUUUCGUCACAAUGGGCUUUUCUAAGCAUGUCAUUACAUUAUACUUUUGGUAAGAAGAAGAAUCAAACUGUUUUCCUUUUCAAAGUUUAUUCAGCAAAGAAAAACACCAAUUCAAUCAAUUUCACAGUAAUUAUUAAGUUGUAAUUUUUAUUUUUUUCUCCUAUUAAAGCCAAACCCAGAAAGAAUCUUUUAUAUUACAUUUAUGUUCACUGCAUUUCUAGAGUGGCUAUAAUUAGUACUAAUUGCUAAAAGUCAGUCAUGAUUAAGGACAUGGGAUAUUACGUUUAAUCAACCAAAUUGAACUUAAUUCCACCAUCUGCACUAGUAGUUUUGGGCCAGUUAUCUCUUGUGACUCAGUUUCCUCUUCUGAGAUGACAACAAUAACAGUCAUGUGUACACAGUUGCCUCUAUGGAACAACCACAGAAUGAACAGACCUGGGUAGCUCCCAGCACAGAAGACAUACUUAAUUAAGUGCAUCUUCACUUCAAAGUCUAUAAUGAAACUUUACUUCCUUUUUUCUUUUUCUUUUUUUUUUUAAAGCUUCAGACAUUUCCAACUGCAUUGUGGAGAGCACCACAUGAAAAUUUCUAUUCUGAAUGAUCUUCCCAUCUCUUGAGUACUCCACAACUAAUCACCUAUAUCACUUUACUGAGCCUGAGAAAGCUGAACUUUCAUCAUCUAAACAUGAACCAUGCUUCAAUUAUAGUAAUUUCAGUCAUCAUUGCCCUCUCUUCUCAAUAAACAUAUUGCUUGAUACC